UACGAAGGGGGCGAGCGUUGUUCGGAUUUACUGGGCGUAAAGGGCGCGCAGGCGGCUACAUUUGUCAGGCGUGAAAGCCCCGGGCUUAACCUGGGAACUGCGUUUGAUACGGUGUGGCUAGAGUUCGGGAGAGGAGAGUGGAAUUCCCAGUGUAGAGGUGAAAUUCGAUAGAUAUUCGCAAGAACACCAGUGGCGAAGGCGGCUCACUGGCCCGGUACUGACGCUGAGAUGCGAAAGCGUGGGGAGCAAACGGG
rnacentral:rRNA from 1 species